UACGGAGGGAGCUAGCGUUAUUCGGAAUUACUGGGCGUAAAGCGCACGUAGGCGGCUUUGUAAGUUAGAGGUGAAAAGCCUGGAGCUCAACUCCAGAACUGCCUUUAAAAACUGCAUCGCUUGAAUCCAGGAGAGGUGAGUGGAAUUCCGAGUGUAGAGGUGAAAAUUCGUAGAUAUUCGGAAGAACACCAGUGGCGAAGGCGGCUCACUGGACUGGUAUUGACGCUGAGGUGCGAAAGCGUGGGGAGCAAACAGG
rnacentral:rRNA from 1 species